rnacentral:sRNA from 1 species
UAUACAGUUCUUUUACUGCUAGCUUUAAUUGUGUAAACUAACAAAGUCAUGAUGUUUCAUUUUGUAAUGUGUAUCGAUAAUUAUGGGAUAUUAAAACUAAAUCUGGUUUGGUAGAAAUCAGAGGUAUGACAAGUAUAAAUUUGUUUCCAGCAAAUUACUCUGAAUUAGAUUCAUUGUCAUUUCCUAAAAACAGUUUGAGUGGCUUAUUGAUGUUUUUUCUUUAAAAACAAAAUUUUCUCUUACAGCAAUUCUGGGGUCAGAAGCCAUGGAGUCAGCAUUAUCACCAAGGAUAUUAUUGAAUACCCAAAUAAAACGAACUGAUACAUAUUUCUCCAAAACCUUCACAAGAAGUCGACUGUUUUCUUUAGUAGGCUAACUUUUUAAACAUUCCACAAGAGGAAGUGCCUGCGGGUUCCUUUUUUAGAAGCUUUGUGGGUUGAUUUUUUUUCUUUUCUUUUUUGUACAUUUUUAAUUGCAGUUUAAAAGUGAAUCGUAAGAGAACCUCAGCAUUGUGCACGAUAAGAGAAUGUGUCAGUAUUUCAGGGUUCUACAUUUUAUCUGUAAAAUGUGACUUUUUUUUUUUUUAUCACAACAGAAGUAAAAUGUUGCUUUGUACCUGGUGUCUUUUAUUAAGAAUUUACUCCCCCCAUUUCUCACAGAGAAUAACAGUCGGGAGUCAUUGUCACAAUAUAAUAGAAAUGUUAGCAACCAGAUUCAUGUAAGGACUAAGUGGUCCUCAUGAAUUGCAUUAAGACUCUGUACUGCUCAUAUUACACUCCAUCCUCUCUAGUUUGCUGGGUAGUGGAGGGGGUAAGCUAAAUCGUAGUUUCUGACAAUAACUGGGAAGGUUUUUUCUUAAAAUAACAAUGGAAUUGGUAUAAUUGGGAUUGAAAACUAAAACUUGGAACUAAGAUAGAGAAGAUGGAGUGUAUGUAGAAGGGCUGUUAAAAAUGUAAAACUUGGUUGCAUUAUUUGUGGAGGCUCAAACUUGUGAAGGUUAAAUACCAUAAUUUUUCCAUUUGUUCUGCAUUUUGAUUCUGAAAAGAAAGCUGGCUUUGCCCAUUUCUUAUUAAAAAAACUUGUUGUAAAUCCAGUUGUCUAAUGGGAUCUAUAUGAAGUUAGCCAUGUCUGUAUGCCCUUCUCCCACAAAAUACUGUAUAACUAGUGUGCUUGUAGUAGUUAACUCCACCAUCUUUGUAAGCUAAUGAAAUUGUGAGUCACCCAUUUAUAUCUUAAUUUUUAAUCAUGUCAGUUCUUGAAUGGGUAUCUCCUUAGCCUGCUGAUUUCUUUUUCUUUCUAAAGAAAGUGGGUGGAGAAAUUAAUUUAGACGUUUGUUUGCAAUAAAAAGAAUUCAUUUUACUCUUGUUUUGGGAUUCUCGCCAUCAAGGUUCAAAAUCCCUUUAUAUAACUCCCAAGAGGAGAAAUUUAUUAAGUGUGUGCUUUCUGGACAGCUUAUUCUUUACUCUGCAUAGAACAUUUAGGUUUUAAAAACUUAAAUGUAUACUGACAAUUGAUACAUAAUUAUGAAGUAAAGUUGAAUUCUUCCCUUCCCCUCCCCCCCAGACAACUUUUAACAUAUUUAAUGAGGGGAAAAGGUACUGGCUGGGAGAAGUUAACACUGAGUUUAUCAUCUUUACAGAAUGCUAAUGCUGUCCUCAACUGAUUAUUUUAUAUACAUAUAUAUGAUACAUGAAACUCUGGGAACAGAUGCUUUUAGAAGCCAUCAUGCAAGCCAGUCAUUGAUGUCACUGCUACACAACACUGCUAACUUGACUGUAGCUAUGUAAUAACAUUAGAUCCCCUAAUUGUAAUUAUAUUGGGUUUGCACAGAACACUUUAAUCUUCCCCUCACCAAUGUGAAGUGAGGAAUCAGGAGUCAAACUGUAGAACUAAAAUUUGACUUCAGUCUAGUGUUUCCUUGGUGUUUUUAGGUUGCUUUGGUAAGUUUAGGUUUGCUAUAUUUCUGAUUGCUUAGAAUUUUGUUUUAGCCCUUUAAAAUCAGAUCUUAAAUAUGAAUUCAUACUUCUAAGGAAUUUUCUUGCUAUAAGCUGGAGUUUUAGGUGAUGUGUAGAUUCAGUUGAGACAUUUUUGGAACAGGCAAAUCCUUAGUUAACAUAGAUAUUUAACAGUUGAAGAUAGUGUCAUGGAUUUUUAUCUCUUUUAGCAAGUAAUGCUAAGAACCACUGGCCUGAGCUACUUUUCAGUAUACAUUAUUAGGAUUGCAUAGGCUUACCUAGAGGAACAGUUUCAGGUUUUGAUGCUAAUCAGUGUUGUGUCCUAAAGUUGUCCUUUGUGCCUUUAAAAAGUCUUGGAUAUACCCUCUAGUUUAAAAUUGCUUAUUAAGGAAUUCAUUUUAAAAUUGUAGUGGGAAAGUAAUGGUCAAGUAACACUAGGUAGACUAUCAUGCCUGUUUAGCCCAGAGAAUGUGGCGGGGGAGAGAAUAGAUAAAAAUGGCACCCAGAAAAAUGUUAAAAUCUUUAGUCAAGACUAGAAUUAAUACAGUUCUCUACACUUGUAUCUAAGAAAUAACCUUAUAAAGUAUUUAAGAAAUUCAGAGAAGGGAAUGUACCAAAUAGCAAGCAACAGGGAGAAAAUUAGGUAAGUGAAGAAGUAAGAUACGAACGAGAAACCUGAUUGAUUGCUCAUGCUUCCCUUGCCUCCUCAUGGCAAGCAAAAACCUGAACAACUGAAAAGGAUGUAGUUCCGGACAAGUCUUGACUCCCCAGAGGAAGCUCUGAGAUUGCGGUUGACGUGAGGGGUGCUUUCACUAAGAGGUUAUAUUUUAAAGUAGAAUAACAUGCUGAGUGAAAACUGGCUUUGGAUUGGUCAGCUGCAGUAGUACAAAAACAGCAUAGAAUUUGAGAAAAGAAAACUAAAACUUAGACUGCUAUGAGAUAGAAAUGAUGUAAAUAAGAUUAUGUGGAAAGUUUUCCCUCAUAUACUCACAUACAGCCUUUGAAGGGCUCUGGCUCUGACCAGUUGAUGGCCUUGAGCGAGAUGAAAUCAUGAAAUUGAGUCAAAUCAAUUUGACAUUGAAAUGACAAGAGGAAACUGUUAAAUAUAUAAAAACAAGCUCUCAUUUGCCUAGGAGAUAGAUACUGUCUUAAAAAUAAAGACUGAACCUAGAUGUUCUGAGCACUAGCAGCAAGGUAUUUUAACAAGUUUAAAGGAAUUCUCUUUGAAAAAGUUAUAAAAUUAUUCUAGGAAACAUAACCAUAAUAGUGUUUUAAGGGACUUUCACCUGGGGAUUUUAUAUUCAUGAACAGAGUGUAUUCUGUAUUUAAAAUGUCUCAUUUGUGGGAAUUGAAUGACAUGUUUUUUGAUAAAUUUAUUCACAAUAUAAAUUGACUUUUUAUUCUGGGACUAUGUGAAUAAUGGGUUCCAUUGCACAGAUAAAAAUAUUUUAAUAGCUUCUUAGGCAGUGGUGUAGACAUCUUGGAUAUAAAUAAUUGUAGAUCUUGUAUAUUUGAUUUUUUAAAAACUAGAAUAAACAGAGAGGCAUAAACAUAUCUUAGAGUCCAAGUGGUAGUGUUUAGCAUUGGAUAUAAUAAAUGGAUGUUUUACAAAGUGUUUCCAUAAUUCUCUUCCUAUACAUAAAUAUAAAAUGUCUUGUUUUCAAAAGUGGAUGGAACUUGGCUGGGUGUGGUGGCUCACACCUGUAAUCCUAGCACUUUGGGAGGCCAAGGCGGGAGGAUCACUUGAGCUCAGGAGUUUGAGACCAUACUGGGCAACGUAGUGAGACCUGGUCUCUUAAAAAAAAAAAAAAAAGUGGAUGGAACUUGUAGCAGAGAAUUUUAUCUACUUCUCAACCUGCUUCAGAAUAUUCAUUUGAGAUGUUCCCCUGGAAAGAUGAACACAAUACUGCAUCUGAAGCCAUUUCUUCCCACCUAACAUUCUUAAAAUGAUUAGAGUCUAAACUUUGUCAUUCAUUCCUAAUUCUGGAGCUCUGAGGCUGAGGUGUUCAGAGUUUGGUGAAUAAUUGGGUUUAAGUUUUAACAUUUUAGUAACAGUUAAUAAAAGCAAACAUGUUAAGGCCUGACAAUAGGUUGCAAUACCUAUGCAUUGGGACUCAUACCCAGCAUAAAUGGUGAGGGACUGAACAUUAGUGCUUUGAGCAAGAGUUGGUUAACUACCUGAGAUCUCUAAAACAGUAAUUUGAAUUACUAAUAUAUAAACCACAAGUCUCUUCGAAUUAAUUGCCUAAAUUUACCCUAAAAUUUAGUUAACGCUGCAGUGCCUUUAUUAAAGCUUUUUUUUUUUUGGCGGGUGGGGGGCGGGCACAGCUACUCCAUAACUUUAAAUUUUAAAGCAUGAAGGUGAUCUAGCUAGUAUUAGUGCUUGAGUUGGUAGUUACAUAGGCUGCUCUUGAAUCGUCCUGUUUUCUUUGCCUAGUAUUAGCACUACAGGUACAUAUUUGUAAAAUAAGCAUUAAAAGUACUUUGUCCAGCUAACUCAUGUUGGAGUGACCUUUGUCUUAUUAACCUUUGUUACUAAACUUGUUAAUUAGAAUAAGCCCUUGAGAAUUUGGAAGUGAGCUAUACUACUAAUGUAGUAUAUGUCUCUUGAGUGUGUUGGAGUAGAUGAAAAACCAGGGGUCCCCAAGAGUCUGUAUUUUUGAAAUUGAACAGAAACAAUUCAUCUUAAUACUUAGUUUUCAUUAUGUUUAGCUUAAUAUGUGUGCUAGUUUAUUUGGCAUCACACUUAUGUCAAUCUCAAGUCAUGCAGAAAUAGCACAGUCUCAGAAAAGAGGUUAGGUGGCAAAUAGAUGAUAUGCUUACAUUAUUGAGCAGGACUAUGCUUUCACAUCCUAACCAAUUGACUAAAAAUAUAAAUGAUUAAAGUAAUUUUCAUUAGUUGUCCCAGGAGUCUUUAAUAAUAGUUUUAAGGGAUAGUAGAUUGGACAUAGGUAGAUGGGUUAUAUUCAUAAUGUUAACCUAGAAUUAGAAAAUAUAACAUCUAUGUAGUAGAAUCUGUUGAUGGUAAGCCUAGUGUUGGUAGGCAAACAUGUUGAUGAUGGGCCAGGACAUAGUAAUCACUACUUGGUUAGGCAAGUAAUUAGGACAGGGAUUGUAAUCAUGUUGUCAAUUUGUAGCUACUUAAUUAUUGAUUAGGAUACUUUAUUUUUCAUGCCAGGAUUCAGCAUGGGUCUUGAGCAGGGGCUUUGCUUUUAAAGCUGAAUCCUGGGCAUAAGAAGCUAUAUACUGUAGUUGAAAGUGUGAAGUAAAUGUCAGUGUAGGCUAGUCUCUAGAGAAAUGUCUUCUAUAAAGAUUCAGCGUUUUUUUUGCACCGUUAUGAUCACCAUACUGUGCCAAUGACAUAGUUACUCAUGAGCAUGUCCAGUCUGUCUACAUUAAUGAAAGAUAAUGCAGAGAUCACAGGCUGGAGAGUUACAUCUGACAGAAGUGCUGCACUACUGGGGCAUAUUCUUUCCUGCUAUUCUUUUAACAGUUCCAUUCUGAACCUUACAGGAAGUAAAAUGAGUUAUGUCUGGUAAAAUAUACGUUGCAAACACUUAAAAGCAUUGCCACAAAUUGGUGUCAGCCAAGACAUUUAAAAAAAUUUUAAAACACCAAGAACAGAUGGUGGCUAGUAUAGACACCAGUUUAUAAGUGUGACAUUAAUGCUAUAAAAGUUAAAGCAUAUAUAGAGAUACCGAAAGGGUUAUUAGGGCUUAUUUAAAUGUCAACUAACAAAGGAAUUUUUUGAGGCAGCUUUGUAUCCUGUAUCAGUUGUUGGUAGUUAAAGAUUGGGAGAGUCAUGGUCAAGUACAAGAAAAAAAGAUUCCAACAUAACUUUUUUUUUUUUUCUUGAAAAGUAAAGCAAACAAAUGUGCUGAUUUACAUUUCAUCUCCUUUUCCUUAGUCUGUCCAUGUGAAUGUGCUGUGUGGAAGAGUUAAAGGGCCCAACUAAAUGUUCCAGUGAUUCUAAUAGGUAUUCCAAAUUAAUUGCUGCUUGUACAUUUAAUAGUUAUGUUAGGCUUCCAGAAUCACUUUAAAUAGGACUCUUUUUAAAAGAUGGGGGAAGAGAGUAAUUGGUAACCAGAUGGACAGAGUCUCUAUAACAGAAAAAAAAGGGUGUUUUCUCUUGCAUAUCUGAGGUGAAGUGUGUAUUCUGUGUGCUCUUAGCAAUUGGCAGUCCUCUUGCUUAGGUUUACAGGUGUAUGUGAAAAUAGACCUGAGUCUUUUCAAAGUUAGAUCAUUUUUCUGAUUUCAUCUUUAACUUUUGGCAAUACAUUUGUUUUGAUAUCCACCCUACUUGGUAGAGUGUAAGUACUUCCUUACAACGUUCUAAUGUAAAACAGUGCAUAGGAGACCUUUCUGUCCUUGGUUGCCCAAAAUAUCUUUUUCAUUUCUACUAAAUUCAGAAAUACAUAUUUUUACCAGCUUAUGAAAAUUUGGAAAAUAGCUUGACAUCCUUUUGGAUAAUGAAGUGAUUAGUUCAUAUAUUGAAGUAUAUAAAAUCAACUAGGAAGUAAAUUCAAGACUGAAGGAAUGGGAGGGCUUGUGUGAGCUUUGGUUGUAUCAUCAGUCCAGAAUAUGUAAUUUUCAUUUCCCUGAAAAAGACUUCAGAGGAAAUUUAUUUUCCCCACUAUACGCUCCAGAAUGUCUUUAGGUGAAAUGAGAGGGCUUGGGCUCUUCUGAUUCCAGACGUAGCUAUCAGAGUUUGCUUAAUGAAAUAUGGGUCUACUCACAAAUAAAGCAAUUUAAUGGUUUCGGAAGAGUAGGCAACUUGUGGUUUCAUUACCAUUUCUGUUCAUUUGAGAAAAAUCAUAAAACUACAGAGAAGGAAACAUUCAUUUCAAAAAUAAGCUUUGAAUUUAGAUGGUAAGGCAUAUAUGUUUUUUUUCACAUGACUUCAGGGUAGAAGUCAAAUGAAGAAACAUUUCUAUGGAAACUUACCCUUUAAGAUGCCAGUAUAUGCAAAGAAUGAUUGAUACCCGAGGGUGUGUCAUGUAAUAGGUGACUGAUAACAUACAGGAUUUAGUUCUUAGAAGAAGUAAGAACAGAUAUCACCCAUUACAUUGACCUGCGUUUUAAAGUGAACAAUAGAAACCUCUCUCAGAAUUAGUAUUUGCCUAUUAAUGUAAUCAGUGUAGCCUUUUCAACAUAAAAAUGUCCUUAUUCUAGAACAUGGAAGCGUACAGCAAAUGCAAUGGUUGAAAGCACUGAAAAAUAUUUGUACAACAUCUGUAGUGCUCACAUUAUGAACUUUAAAUGUAAUACUUUGAAAACCAUCUUCAUAAUUUUUUUGUUCUAACAGCUUCCUUUUUAAGAAAACAUUUAAAAACAUUUUAAAAUGGAACUGAAUGUGCAAAAUAAGUUGUGUAAAAUACCAGUAUUUGGGUGGUAGAGGAUAUUGGUAUAUUAUAUUGACCUGGGUUGAUGACUACUGGACUAUUUUAAGAUACCUACUUCCAAAACUUAUUUUAUUCUAGAGGACCACUAAAAAUCAGAAUUACAGCAAUCAUUUUAAUUUUUCUACUUUCCUUGUUAAGGUCUUCUGCUUACCCAAAGAAUAGUGUAUAUAUCUUAACAUGACUUUUAAAGGGGUAUCUUGAUCCCCAUCACAGAUUUUUAUCUAUGAAUAGAAGGAUUGAAACCCUAUUUGAUCCCUAGCUCUUUGCUGAAAAGUGCAUAAACAGGAAUCCUGAAUUUAUUAUAUAGACCUCCUCGCAUUAUAUAAUCGAAGCAAAGGGAAACCAGCGAUGGAGUAGAGGUACGUAGACUAAAGAGAUGCUUGCAAAUGAUGGUACCUAGGGAUAGUCACAUUUUCUUGUUGCCAAACUCAGUCAAUAUAAUCACAAGUCCAGAGAAGAGCUAGUUAAUUUUCAAUUCCCCGAGGUCCUUUUACUGAGAUGGAAAAGCACAAACAAUCAAGGAAAACCAAAGAGGGAGGGGUGAGGGAAGGGGAAAGUGCAUGAAGCACUUAAAGAUUUUUUUAAAGUAGGUGUGAUAGAUAAGCCACAAGAAGUUUUUAAGACUACUAAUAACCAUAAUUCUAUUUUAAUCAGCUAUUUAGCUGGUACCUACUGCUAUAUCACCUAGUGUGACAUUUCGGAAUUAAUGGAACAAUGAAGGAAGCUGUACACUGGAGGUUCCAGGUGGUCAUGGAAGGUUUCCAGUUUAUGCAAACUUCUGUGAAAAUGAGCUUUGUUAUUGGUGAAGACAUUGGAAAUUUUACCAGCCAAGAGAGAGUUUCUCUCUUAUUCAGGGUAAGAUGUAAUUGCAGUGUGCUAGCCCUGGAAGGGACCUGUUUUACAUGUUAUGUCCAGUUCCGCAUCCUUGGAUUCAACCAACUGUGGGUUGAAAAUACUGGAGGUAAAAAGACAAAAAAUAACAAUGAAACAACAACAAAAAUACACAGUAUAAUAAUUAUAUUUACAUAGCAUUUAUUUUGUAUUAGGCAUUAUAAGUAAUCUAGAGAUGAUUUAAAGUAUAUGGGAGAAUGUAUGUAGAUGAUACGGAAAUAUGAGGGCAUUUUAUUUAAAGGGACUUGGGCCUGUGGAUACCAAGGAAUAACUAAGGUAAAACUGAGCAUAAGUGGCCUGUCCACAGUUUGUUAAAUAUCAGAUUAUUGAUUAGUGAUCAUCAAUAUUUUCCCGCAUUCACGCAGUGCUGCCUCUGAAAACAUGGUUGAACAGCCUAUGGAAUUUUUUUUUUUUUUGAGAUGGAGUCUCACUCUGUCACCUAGGCUAGGGUGCAAUGGCGCCAUCUUGGCUCACUGCAACCUCCGCCUACCCCACCUCAGGUUCAAGUGACUCCCCCGCCUCAGCCUCCUGAGUACCUGGGACUGCAGGCGCGCACCACCACGCCCGGCUAAUUUCUGUAUUUUUAGACGAGACAGGGUUUCACCCUGUUGGCCAGGCUGGUCUCAAACUCCUAACCUCAGGUGAUCCAACUGCCUCGGCCUCCCAAAGUGCUGGGAUUACAGGUGUGAGCCACUGUGCCCGGCAGAAUUUUUUAACUAUUUGGUUACGAUUCAUUUGGAUAAUGUAGACUGCCUGCAGCUUUGAUUUGUGCCACUAAGAGUGGGCAAACUGUCUUCCUUUUUGUGAAUCAGUAAAAAUUUUCCUUCACCAUGUGUUUGACAGUGUCAUUGACUUCUGAGUUAAGGCAUUUGGUAAACCACACAGCCUCCGCGUCCUUCCUAGCGACAGCCACAAGAAAAGGUGGGCAUGGCAGGGAAAAUGCUCUUGUGAAUUGAACUGGAGGCAAGCUCCACUUUUCUUUAGAAAAAGAUGUAGAUCAAAAUAACUAAUAUUUUCUUCCUUGCUCGAUUUCUGUGCCUUCCAUGGUACAUCAAAAUAAUAGGACCAGUAAUGGCCACAAUCCUGUUGACUGCUGGUAUCUUCCCCCCAAUAUUUCUUUAAGCAUUUCUUAAGCAUCUAGCUUGUGUUUUGUUAUAUUUAAUAGAUUUUCUUAAAGUAUUGUACGAAUUAAAACCAGAAAUAACUUCAUUUUCCUAGAAAGGGAUAAUUUCUCCCGGAGAAUAAAUCCUGAGGAUUUAGUUAGAUGCUGUGGGUAUUCUUGUAUUUUAAAUAAUAUUUUAAUGGGAGCAGCUGAUUGACUUUCAAAUGGAUUGUUUACAUUAAUAGUAAUUCUGCAGUUAUUUUUCUGUUGCAUCAGUCUGCCAGACAAGUUCCAUGUGUAUAUUUAAAUUCAUAACUAAUUAUACUUAAAAAUUUAAACCCUGCAUACUUCCCCAAAAAUGUUUAGGGCAGUUAAAAACAACUCUUUUGGAAGAUGACUCACAUUUUAAGAAAUGAGAGAACACUGUCAAAUGAUGAAUGCAUUUAAAAAAUAAUUUGCAAAGUGAUAAAAUCCCUUAGUUUUAAAUCUUAUAAUGACAUUAGCUGUUACAAGAAAUCAGUAAGUAUUUGCUGCUUUUUAAUGGGAUAGUAAUAAGGUUGAGGUUUUUGUUAAGGUUACUUAUCAUUAAACUCUACACUUGUUACUGCAAGGAAACUCUUUCCAAGUACGUUAAACACUAGGUUUUAUAAUUCUUUGCCACACUGCCAAUAAAUUCUGUUCGCAUUUUAAGGAUGACAAGUCCACUAUAUGUAACACGUAAGAAUGCUAUCCUCGCAGUAGACACAGGGCCAGAAUAAACUGGCAAGUUUUCAUUCCAUACAAGUGUGGGAAAAAAAUGACUACAACUUAAACUUUAUUUACUUGAUUGAGAGUUUAUUGCACAUGAAAUGUUUUAUGUGGUUGAUCUUAACUUCAUUUACAUUGACUUCUGUGCUCAAGAUUGUUCAAUUGCUGCUGCUGCCGUUGUGUUUUCUUUCAGGAUCGAGGUGGGUACCUUCAUAUAGUAUCUUCUUUUUAAUUUCUUCUCUGGCAAUUCUUUCCUGGAUUCUUUGCUUUGCAUAAUUAUACCUACAAUGAAACCUUGGAAGAAAAGAAUAUGAAUAAAUUGUUAAUAUAAAGUCAAUUGUUAAUAUAAAGUCCUACAGAAAUUAAUUUAUGAAAUUUCUCUAUAAAUCACACAAAACUUAAAUACAGAUGCCUACCCUGAGACUGAAAAAUAUGUUCUAAUUUAUAGUGCUAUUUUUUGGGCAGUUUUGGUGUCAGAAUACCUAUCAACACAUUCUUUUUUUAUUAGGAAAAAAAAGGAUGUCUACGUAACAAUUUGUAAAGUGAUAAAAUCCAUUAAAGUCUUCUGAUAGCAUUGGUUACUAUAAGAAACUAGUAAGUAUUUGCUCUCGUUUUUAACGGGAUAAUGCUAUGUCUACAUAAAAUGAUUUCUAUCACCUUAAAUAGCUCACUGUAGAAAUUCAUGUAUAAAUGGAACCAUAUAGUACAUACAUAUCAUACUCUUAGGUCUGACAAAUAUUUGAGGUUCAUCCAUAUUUUAUAUUCACUCGUCAGUAGUUGUAAACACAUUCUUAAAGUAGCAUUUUCAGAUACGAAUAAGCAGGGAUGAAAUAAGUGUUAGGGUAAGGGAAAUGGUUGAGGCUUUCCUAAGUGAAGUGUAAAAACCACAGCUUUCUUUUUAAUGGGAUGUCUAAUAUGCAUUUAUCUGUUCAAGCAUUUUAAGACAGAUUUCCAUGAAAAUGUCCUGAAAAAUCAAGAUUCUUCAUUGAGGGUGAGGAUCUCCCAAUGCGAGACUGCUCUGAAAAGAGCAUGUGCUUUUUGAAUUAGAUAACCUACUAUAAUCAUGGAUGUUCUUGAAUACUUAGCAAACAUACCAGCAUCCCAAAGUCACCAAGAUAAACCCUCCUACUCCAACAUCACAUGAUCUUCUAAUUCUACCUGUCAAAAAUAAGCAUAACAAUCAAUUAGAAUAUAAUUACAUGUUAUAUACAUUACUCCAUCUAGAAAAAAAAUAGUUCAUUACGUAGAGAAAUGCUUUUUUAGUACAUAGAGAAAUAAAAAACACAGAUACUCACUAGUGAACAAAAAAUGUCCAAAGCCAGCCACAACAGAUCCUAAUGAACCAUACAAUAUUGAAUGCCGGGCGCAGGGAGUAUUUUCAACAUCUAAAAAUCCUAGGAGCUUAAGGGACUAGAAUGAAAAAAAAAAAACCUAGAUUGAGUAAGAAAGUAUUUCAUUUUGGGGUGCUUUGGCAAAAAUGACAAUACACCAUUUCUUUUGUUGUAGUUGAGGGUUUAAACUAGAGUAUGUGCUACGUGACAACCUAAAUCAGCUUGCGUUGUCUUUGUCCAGCUUUGGUAUGCAGUCUAAAUCUUUAAAUCCGAAAACCUUAAAAAUUGGACCAGAAAACCCUUAAGCAGUAGGGUAACUUUUAGCUGUAUCUUAAUUUGCUAAUCAACUGACUUGGAAGUAAGAGAAUACAUUUUAUGAGCUCUUUAAAUGAGUUUAUUUGGGAAUAUGCCUAUCACUGGAAUUGAAAGCAGCAUAGUUUGCUUCAGUAACUCCAAUAAUUUGGGAAGCAGAAAUGGAAAAAGUAAUUUGAGUCAUGUUUGCUUAUGUAGUGCCGUUUAAAAUUCCCCUAGUAAUUACCUUUCAUAUUUUAUUAACUAGGUUAACAUCAACUGUGGUUGUAAGAGUAAAUGUUUCACCUUAAGAUAAACAUGGGCAAUAUAUUAAACUCUAGUCUCUUUUCUUGCCUGUGAAGUGAGGCUGCACUUGAUUAUAUUUGAUUCUUUGUUCGUAAUACAUGGUAACGACAGCUAGGUGUGGUGAAAAACGCGGGGAUCCAAAGAGCUGGAUUUUUAUCUCAGAUCUGCCGCUAACUUUUGUAUCCUAUAGGCUACUUUUAUUUCUAUGGUCUCAAUCUAUAACAUGAAUGGGUUGGGUUAAAUGACUGAAGUUCCUUCAAGUGCUAAAAUUCUUUUUCUACAGUCUUCAUUGGAUUUAUGUAUUUCUUAUUCCUAAUAUGUUUAACUGGGAUGUCUGUUCACUCUAGGGCGGCAAGACAGACAUUUAAAAGUAACAGUCACACUGUUGAACUGGCAUUUCUGUUAACACAAAAGUUUAGAAAACUCACGGUAACUUACUUGAUUAAGUGCAUAUAAAAUUUUCAGUAAGGCUGCUUUUAAAAGGAACCACUGUCCAUUUAAAGGUUUCAUAGUUAUCUUCAAUGGGUUAGUAUUGUUUGGGGCAGGACAUUAAACUAGAAGGGAUUCUAUAGGAUGAGGUGAUACCUAGAAGGUAAUAUAUUGUAAGGCAAAAGAGAUCAGAAGAAAUGGGGAAAGGACAGUAAAAGGCAAAUCAGAUUAAAGGUUGAAACAUGAAGAUAUUCUCAAUUGUAUUUCUGCCUAUGUUUGCUUCUUUGGCUCAAGCAUCUGUUGGAAGAGACAAAAUGUGACUUGGUUCAUAAUAAAGCAAAAAUUAUUUACUCUCGGA